ensembl:lncRNA
UUGGACAUUACCAGUCCUAAUAGUGUUUUUAUGUGCUGCCACUCUAGCUUUUAUUUUCCACUAAAUCUCUGACUUCAGCAAUUUUUAGAAUUAUGCCUAGGAGCACCAAAUUUACAACCAGGUGCCAGUCAGGUCUACACUAUGGCCUGAUCAGCAUGAGCCAGUCAGGUCUACACAAUGACUGCAACACCAAGAGUAAGAACAGUCUACCCAAUGACCUAAACAUGAAGAUCCAGACUGGUCUGAACCAUGGCUCAAAAACUAGGAGCCAGUCAGAUCUACAUCAUAGCCAGUUGGGUCUACACCAUGACCCAAACCCCAGGAGUCAGUCAGGUCUACACCAUGAUCCAAACACAUCAGGUUUACCCUCUGGCCCAAACCCCAAGAGUCAGUCAGGUCUACAACAUGAUCCAAAAACAUCAGGUCUACACCAUGGCCCAAACAGGAGUCCUCCUGAUGUCCCGCAGGUAGGUUGUGGUUUGAAAUGUUUUCGCUCAGGUUACAUAAAUCCUUUUUAGCUUUUAUUUAUACCCCAAAAGAGUUCCUUAGCUCCUCAC